UUCUCAUACAUAUAUAUAUAUUCGUUUCGAUAGCGAGACACCAAUCUAUAUAUACGUACAGGUAUAUCACCUCAUCUAUGUGUUUUCAAGAGCGGCGUACGCAUCUCGCCCCCAUUCCUUACCCCGCCCCUUUUUAUAUCUGCUUGAGAGCUCGUUGAGCUGUCGUGUCUGGCUUUGUUUCUCCUCUUUCGCGCUUUUCGAAAGCCUGCCAUCACAACGAGAAACAGCCCCCCCCCCCACCACCCACACACACACACAACACAGAAGGGCACACUAUGCGGUCAAAGCCUCGCCACUUCUCACGGCUCGCGCUCCACCCCAUCGGGGUCGCGUCUGUCAUCGUCUUCAUUGUGGUGUGUCUUGCCUUUGGCUAUCGCAUGGGUGUCCGCAAUACCGAGCGCGGGUUUCAGCCGCGCCUGGUGGAGCUCCGCGCGCUUGAAAGCGAGCUGAAAGUGGCGCUGCGGGUGUGCAAGAGCGAAACGCAGAAACUCAUCGACAGCGAGCGCUUGAACAAUGACCGUGUGCACGCAAUGGUAGAGGCGGUGGCGGCGCUGGAGGCCGAUCAGGAGACCGAGGAGAACGCCUACAGGACUAUAGAGAUGAAGCGAGAAAACUGCACAGCCACGCUCGCGCAGGUGCGUAGACGGAUGGAAGAGCCGAACGAGAGUGUCAUUCUCGUUCGUCUGGAGGUGGAGGAGCUGAAGCGCGAUAUCGACGCGCUUCAGGUGUCUAUUCAGAAGAUCACGCGCGGUGAGGGAAUGCGCAUUGUCAUGCUGAGCCAAGGGCUGCAGCGGCUACGCUCCUUCUACACCAACUGGUGCAGUCGCACGCCUGGGUGUGUGGAGCUGACCGACUCGGAGCUGAUCGAGCGGUGGGGCAAUGCCACGGCAGACGAAGCGAUCAUGAAGGAAUUUGUGGAGCGGGACGAGGAAGCGCAGAGGACUAUGGCGAACAAUACAUUCCGAGGACUAUCGGCGGACACGACCGACAUUGUGUUUCAGCCCACCCUGGCGGAAGAAGGGGACGCCUUGACUGUAUCAGAAGCACCUGUAUUUUUCAACCGCAGCAUCUACGACAAGCCUCUGCGCGGCAUGGACAAGGCUGCCAUGUCGCUGCUCCCCAUGCGAGUCACUACCGCGUUUGAGCGAUUUACCGACUACGGCCUCUGUGCCUACCGCCACCACAACCCUAACUUCACCUUCCAGUCAGACUUCAAGUAUUUAUCAGAAACGAUGCCUCCGCAGGAGAUGCAGCUAUCUGAAAAGGGGAAGGAUGUGGUCUAUCUGCAUGAGCUCGUGGCAAGCCCACUCCUUCGGUUCUGCGUCGACUGUGACUCCGCCAUGUGGGCGGAGCAUUACAAGCUCGCCUGCCUUAGAGACCGCGUCCAGACACACUACGGCACCCACGACUUCUGGGCUGCACGCUCCCUCAUCCAAGCCAGUCCGUCGGUGCGGGAAGCUGCCUUCCGCUAUUACAAGGCACGAGACUGGCACAAGAAAAAAAUUCUGGCUGUCGUGCACCACCAAACCGCUAACCACGAUCGUCUCCAGUGCGAUGAACUCGUUGAUCGCAAGUAUGGGCUGCACUACCAGUACCUCAAGGCGAACUACCCAAACAUCACGGGACUUCGACAGCACGUCUCGGACGACCGCCGCGCGCAGUGCUCGCCUUCGCUGGAGAUGGUAAUUGAGUACAUCCAGAAGGUGCGUGGCCAGGCGUCUUACAUCUUUGAUCACGUCUACCUCUCCAUGGCCGAAGAUCAGCGCAGCACGCUGGAGUCGCUCCUGAGCGUGAACGACGUGGCGCAGCUGCGGCCGCUGCUUCUCCCAGCGUACACCAACGCAGAAGCUGAGGCCGCGACACCAGGCUUCACGGAGCUGGUCGACCUCGAGAUCGCGGGCCGCGCUACAGACAUUCUCGUUAGCCCCUUUCUUUCGUCAAGUCGCUAUGUCACCGAGUGCUUUCUCCUGAGGAACAAUCUUGCCCCUGGUGAUCACGUGUGGACAUUCUAGGCGGAGGACAGAAGCUGUGUGGGUCUGAGUCUCUACAUGUGUACAUAUAUAUAUAUAUGUGUAUGUGUGUGCGUGUGUGUCUCUGAGCGACUUGCUGUUGGUGACUGCCUCCUUGAAUUUCUCUUCUGGAGCCGACGGCAGUGAUGGAUGAUGGGCGAUCAAUCGUGCCCGUCAAACAAACUGUGGGGGUGAGAGAAGGAGGACAAGGGUAACGCACGCCGUUGGCGCACCCGCAAACUCGCUUGCACGUGCGGAUCGCCUCUCCGCGCAGUGCGGCAACUGCUCACGAGCACAGGUCGUCCUUGUUCAGUGCAGAAGGCAAGUUGCACGUGAAUUUGUAUGAGUGCUCGCUCCAUCUUUCACGACAUCACGGGAGAAGCUGGGCAUGCUCUUAUUUUUCUUCUUUUUCGUUACUGUGAACUUCUUGUUGCUUGGAGAUAUCAACUCAUCUCACAG
rnacentral:misc_RNA from 1 species